GACGUAGGGCGCGAGCGUUGUCCGGAUUUAUUGGGCGUAAAGAGCUCGUAGGCGGCUUGUCGCGUCGGUCCGUGAAAACCCGGGGCUCAACUCCGGGCUUGCGGGCGAUACGGGCAGGCUGGAGUUCGGUAGGGGAGACGUGGGAAUUCCGUGGUGUAGCGGUGAAAUGCGCAGAUAUCAGGAAGAACACCGUGGCGAAGGCGGCUCUCUGGGCCACUACUGACGCUGAGGCACGAAAGCGUGGGGAGCAAACAGG
rnacentral:rRNA from 1 species